AGACGCUCUACACGCUGGUGUUUUUUCUACUUUUGGUGGAGACGCGGUGCUGUGGUUUGUUCGGUCUUGACAGAAGAGCAGCUGUAUCUCUCGACAAAUCUUGUGUCACUUUCCCAGUUCCGUGUCCUUGAGCGGCAAAUAAGAUUAAGUCCCCCAUAGAGGUUUGAGGUAGAAUAUGGAGAGAGAUGUGAGAGGGAGUGGACGAAGAGGAAGAGGAGGCAGAAAACAACGUGGUAAUCGUGAUGGAGAGGACAGAGAUGUUCGCCUCUCCAAGUCUCUGUCCUACGCUCUGCGCCAUGGAGCAGCUCAGAUGGGCCUAAACAUGACUUCUGGUGGAUUUGUGAUGGUGGAUGACUUAUUGUCGCACCCUCAGUUUCGUGGUUUCUCAUUGGAGGACAUAGAGAAAGUGGUGGCCAAUAAUGACAAGCAGCGCUUCAAGCUUUCCCGCCAUCCAGAUAAUGGAAAGCUACAGAUCCGGGCCAAUCAGGGUCAUUCCCUGCAGGUUGCAGACCUAGAUCUUCGGGAGGUUCAGCUGGAUGCUCCAGACUGUCCCAGGGAAGCAGUCCAUGGCUCGUAUUUCCAGCACUGGCCUUCCAUUCGUACUCAGGGCUUGAACCGAAUGGCACGGACCCACAUCCAUCUGGCACCUGGGUUGCCAGGGGUAGAGGGAGUCAUCAGUGGCAUGCGGCACAACUGCACAUUGGCAGUUUACAUUGAUGUCCCCAAGGCACUGGCAGGUAAAAACACAUCAGACCGUUUUUUAACUGUCCUGCAUUUUUCAGAUAAUGCAUUUACUGUGUUACCUCUUGACAUGCUAUGUGAAUUGAUUAGUUUGAAUCUGAAUGAAAGAAAUCUUUAUUAUGGUCCAAUCAUGAAAGAAACGCCAUAUGUAUCCAACAUUUCUACAAUUGCCGGUUUUCUAUAAGGGUUCAAAUAUUAUUUAGCACCCUUUGACGAAACAAUACUCCAAUGAGCAAGCCAGGCACAACACGAGAAAAUGACAACUGUAUGAGAAUAUGGCUUUAAAAACUGUACCACAAAUGUACCAGCAUACAGAUAUAUAGAGCAGGCAUUCAUAAUUCACUGGAAACAUGAGACACGAGUCAUCCUGCUUCUAUUAGCUAGCUAGCUAAGCAAACAAGCCGGCCUUUUCUUCUCUCGCUCGAACGACCCGCCACUGACAGCAGCGCUAACUUUGAAAACACCCGUUUUCAGAUGUGACCUGGCAAUAAACAGCAGAGCAAACGCGAGAAACAUUUAUCAAUAAUAAACAGCAAACGAAUGUCUCACCAACACACUAAAGCAAGACAGAUGUCUGCCUCUCGUUUUCUCUGUUCUCAGCAAAUGCAUUACUUUGUUACCUCUUGACAUGCUAUGUGAAUUGAUUAGUUGUCCAAAUUAAUGCUCUUAGCAGCUGUGGUCAUGCAAAAAAAUCUGCCACACGUUGUGGGUGAGGCCUGGGAUAAGCAUCCCUGUGCUAGUUAACUGAAACCAACAUUAAAUGCUGAUCCUAUUGAUAUUCUUAUGUAAACGUGAUUUUCAUAAAUUUUAUGUUUGCCUUAUGCUAAAGACGGUGUCCGGUUCUUCUGGUCAUCCAAUGGGGUCCUACUGACGCCUGGCAAUGCAGAAGGGAAGCUGCCUCCUCAGUAUUUUAGCCGUGCUAUCAGGCUGAAACCUACAAGUUGUGAACUUCCACUGGUGUAGGUAGAAGAAACAAGCAUGGCUAUGAGCGUGCAUAACAGGCACUGCACUGCUGCAUUCGGAGAACAGGGGAACUGGUGGAUUCCCGCAGCAGCUGGAGAAUUGCAGUGGAAAGUAAAGAAUAACUUCCUGCAGAGCUUUGGCUAAUUUCUCCAUAUAUGGGUCUUUAAAGCGAUGAAGGCCACUGCUCCAUUCUUUGCACAAGUAUUUCUUAGUUGAAGAAAAAAUAAAUAAUGAACUUGAAAUUGCCCAAAACAAAGGAUGAAAAUAUAUAAAAAAAACAAAGUGUCGAUAAAAGACGAGUUUUCCACACUGUCCUGUUAUGGAAAAUGCUGAGCUAAUAAACUUUGAAUAAUUGGUGGACAAAGUA